rnacentral:rRNA from 1 species
UACGUAGGGUGCAAGCGUUGUCCGGAAUUAUUGGGCGUAAAAGAGCUCGUAGGCGGUUUGUCGCGUCUGCUGUGAAAACUGGGGGCUCACCCCCAGCCUGCAGUGGGUACGGGGCAGACUAGAGUGCGGGUAGGGGGAGAUUGGAAUUCCUGGCGUAGCGGUGGAAAUGCGCAGAUAUCAGGAGGGAACACCGGUGGCGAAAGGGCGGGGUCUCUGGGGCAGUAACUGACGUG